rnacentral:rRNA from 1 species
CAGUAGCCGCGGUAAUACGAGGGGGGCAAGCGUUGUUCGGAAUUAUUGGGCGUAAAGGGUGCGUAGGCGGUUUCGCAAGUCUUGUGUGAAAUCUAUGGGCUCAACCCAUAGUCUGCAUAGGAAACUGCGAGGCUUGAGGAUGGGAGAGGUGAGUGGAAUUUCCGGUGUAGCGGUGAAAUGCGUAGAUAUCGGAAGGAACACCUGUGGCGAAAGCGGCUCACUGGACCAUUUCUGACGCUGAUGCACGAAAGCUAGGGGAGCAAACAGGAUUAGAGACCCCGGUAGUCCCUGUCUCUUAUAA